rnacentral:rRNA from 1 species
GACGAACGCUGGCGGCAGGCCUAACACAUGCAAGUCGAACGCCCCGCAAGGGGAGUGGCAGACGGGUGAGUAACACGUGGGAACCUUCCCAACAGUACGGAAUAGCCCAGGGAAACUUGGAGUAAUACCGUAUAUUCCCGAGAGGGGAAAGAUUUAUCGCUGUUGGAUGGGCCCGCGUCGGAUUAGCUAGUUGGUGAGGUAACGGCUCACCAAGGCGACGAUCCGUAGCUGGUUUGAGAGAAUGACCAACCACACUGGGACUGAGACACGGCCCAGACUCCUACGGGAGGCAGCAGUGGGGAAUCUUGGACAAUGGGCGCAAGCCUGAUCCAGCCAUGCCGCGUGAGUGACGAAGGCCUUAGGGUUGUAAAGCUCUUUUGCCGGGGACGAUAAUGACGGUACCCGGAGAAUAAGUCCCGGCUAACUUCGUGCCAGCCGCCGCUGUAA